rnacentral:rRNA from 1 species
GAUGAACGCUGGCGGCGUGCCUAAUACAUGCAAGUCGAGCGAACGGACGAGAAGCUUGCUUCUCUGAUGUUAGCGGCGGACGGGUGAGUAACACGUGGAUAACCUACCUAUAAGACUGGGAUAACUUCGGGAAACCGGAGCUAAUACCGGAUAAUAUUUUGAACCGCAUGGUUCAAAAGUGAAAGACGGUCUUGCUGUCACUUAUAGAUGGAUCCGCGCUGCAUUAGCUAGUUGGUAAGGUAACGGCUUACCAAGGCAACGAUGCAUAGCCGACCUGAGAGGGUGAUCGGCCACACUGGAACUGAGACACGGUCCAGACUCCUACGGGAGGCAGCAGUAGGGAAUCUUCCGCAAUGGGCGAAAGCCUGACGGAGCAACGCCGCGUGAGUGAUGAAGGUCUUCGGAUCGUAAAACUCUGUUAUUAGGGAAGAACAUAUGUGUAAGUAACUGUGCACAUCUUGACGGUACCUAAUCAGAAAGCCACGGCUAACUACGUGCCAGCAGCCGCGGUAAUACGUAGGUGGCAAGCGUUAUCCGGAAUUAUUGGGCGUAAAGCGCGCGUAGGCGGUUUUUUAAGUCUGAUGUGAAAGCCCACGGCUCAACCGUGGAGGGUCAUUGGAAACUGGAAAACUUGAGUGCAGAAGAGGAAAGUGGAAUUCCAUGUGUAGCGGUGAAAUGCGCAGAGAUAUGGAGGAACACCAGUGGCGAAGGCGACUUUCUGGUCUGUAACUGCCGCUGAUGUGCGAAAGCGUGGGGAUCAAACAGGAUUAGAUACCCUGGUAGUCCACGCCGUAAACGAUGAGUGCUAAGUGUUAGGGGGUUUCCGCCCCUUAGUGCUGCAGCUAACGCAUUAAGCACUCCGCCUGGGGAGUACGACCGCAAGGUUGAAACUCAAAGGAAUUGACGGGGACCCGCACAAGCGGUGGAGCAUGUGGUUUAAUUCGAAGCAACGCGAAGAACCUUACCAAAUCUUGACAUCCUUUUGACAACUCUAGAGAUAGAGCCUUCCCCUUCGGGGGGGCAAAGUGACAGGUGGUGCAUGGUUGUCGUCAGCUCGUGUCGUGAGAUGUUGGGUUAAGUCCCGCAACGAGCGCAACCCUUAAGCUUAGUUGCCAUCAUUAAGUUGGGCACUCUAAGUUGACUGCCGGUGACAAACCGGAGGAAGGUGGGGAUGACGUCAAAUCAUCAUGCCCCUUAUGAUUUGGGCUACACACGUGCUACAAUGGACAAUACAAAGGGCAGCGAAACCGCGAGGUCAAGCAAAUCCCAUAAAGUUGUUCUCAGUUCGGAUUGUAGUCUGCAACUCGACUACAUGAAGCUGGAAUCGCUAGUAAUCGUAGAUCAGCAUGCUACGGUGAAGACGUUCCCGGGUCU